rnacentral:lncRNA from 1 species
GUCUGAUUUUAUUUGAUAAUAGAUUAUUCUGAGGGGUUAAUGUUGGCAUAAUAUUAUAUUUUCUACCAUCCAAAUAUAGUUUCCUCACUUUCGCUAUCAUUAACAUUAAUAUAAGGUAUGCUCGUAUUCAAAGCUAUAAACCAAUAUGAAUUGUACGAAAUAAUUACUUUUAUCACAAUUAGUAAGGAAACCAAUAAAAACUAUUGAUAAUGUAAUAUGUCACGUACCAUUUGAAAGGUCUGAAAAGGGACUUCUAGAAAGAUAAAAGUAAUGUAAAUAAAUAGACAAAAAUUGAAUCAAUAAAACCAAUUAACUAUAGUUGAAAAAAUACUAUGUAUAGUGUAAUACUUUACAUGUACAAUUGAACCAAUGAAACAUAUAUAUAAGUGAAAAAAUAAAAAUAGAGACAUGAGACACCAUACGACAACUAAGUAAAUCUAAAUUUAAAAAAAAAAGUUAUGAC